GGUGGCUGCAGAAUAAGAAAGUUAACAGCUUGAUGCCAGUAGGUCUCCCAGUGCAUGGAGGGGCAUCUGCUGGCCCCAUACGACUUGCGAUUCCUGAAACUGAAAGAGGGUUCCUGAGAUUACUUCAGUCUCUCAUCCUGGCAUUGCAAUUCCAAAAAUCUUCAACACAUGAAUAUUUUCUUUUAAGAAAUAUAUAUUCUACUGGGACUCCAUCAAGAUAAAAAGCUUUUGCACAGCAAAAGAAACAGUCAACAAAAUCAAAAGACAACCGACAGAAGAUAUUUGCAAAUGACAUAUCAGAUAAAGGGCUAGUAUCCAAAAUCUAUAAAGAACUUAUCAAGCUUAACACCCAAAGAACAAGUAAUCCAAUCAAGAAAUGGGCAGAAGACAUGA